rnacentral:rRNA from 1 species
CGGGUGAGUAACGCGUAGGAACCUGACACCGAGUGGGGGAUAACGCUGGGAAACCGGCGCUAAUACCGCAUGAGAUCUGGCGACAGAGGAAAGCAGCAAUGCGCUGGGUGAGGGGCCUGCGUCCGAUUAGCUUGUUGGUGGGGUAAAGGCCUACCAAGGCACCGAUCGGUAGCUGGUCUGAGAGGAUGAUCAGCCACACUGGGACUGAGAUACGGCCCAG